rfam:Barley yellow dwarf virus Ker-II isolate K439, complete genome.
CUACCACUGGCAAAAGACGGAUCCUGGGAAACAGGCAGUGCUUAGGCACGUAAGCUCGGGGAUACUAGUCAUAUCCCGCCGCAUCACUUUUGUCUGGCC